UACCAGCACCCCGAGUGGUCGGGACGAUUAUUGGGCCUAAAGCAUCCGUAGCCGGUCCUGCAAGUCUUCCGUUAAAUCCAGCUGCUCAACAGAUGGGCUGCGGGAGAUACUACAGGGCUAGGAGGCGGGAGAGGCAAGCGGUACUUUAUGGGUAGGGGUAAAAUCCGUUGAUCCAUAGAAGACCACCAGUGGCGAAGGCGGCUUGCCAGAACGCGCUCGACGGUGAGGGAUGAAAGCUGGGGGAGCAAACCGG
rnacentral:rRNA from 1 species